rnacentral:lncRNA from 1 species
GGCUGAUCCAGUAUAGCGGCCUGAAAUUCAAUGCAUUGUUUAAUUUAUCUAAUUUCAUUAUUUUGUUGACAGAUUGAGUAUUUGAAAAAUCUAUGAUAUCCCAUCAAGAAGAUCUGGAACGGACUCGAAUCCGGUUUCCAUUUCUUGAAAAUAUUUGGCUAUCUCAACCAUUGCUGUAUCAAUUCAGUUAUUCAACUCUGCUAGUCUUUGAUAUAUCCAACUUAUGCCAGGGCUGCUUAUAUCAAAAACUUCGCCCACUUAAUAAUCAACAAUAUGAAAAAUUCUUUUGUUCAAUGUCGUUUGUUGAAAAAGAUGCAGCGAUUAUGCUGACAUUAAUAUUUGAAUCACCUAAAAAUAUGGCUCAUCU